AAACCAUGGUGUGGACACCUUUUAAGGCACACUUUGAACCUCUCCCACGCAUCAUAGAGUGUCUCCCCAUCCGCUUGUUCAAAGUUGCUAAUUUCAGCUCUUCUUUC